ACACCAUAAGUAAUCCACCUGGGGAGUACGACCGCAAGGUUGAAACUCAAAGGAAUUGACGGGGGCCCGCACAAGCAGUGGAGUAUGUGGUUUAAUUCGAAGCAACGCGAAGAACCUUACCAGGUCUUGACAUCCAACUAACGAAGCAGAGAUGCAUCAGGUGCCCUUCGGGGAAAGUUGAGACAGGUGGUGCAUGGUUGUCGUCAGCUCGUGUCGUGAGAUGUUGGGUUAAGUCCCGCAACGAGCGCAACCCUUAUCAUUAGUUGCUACGCAAGAGCACUCUAGUGAGACUGCCGUUGACAAAACGGAGGAAGGUGGGGAUGACGUCAAAUCAUCAUGCCCCUUAUGACCUGGGCUACACACGUACUACAAUGGCGAUUAACAGAGGGAAGCAAGACAGUGAUGUGGAGCAAAACCCCAAAAAUCGUCUCA
rnacentral:rRNA from 1 species